rnacentral:lncRNA from 1 species
UGGAAUCAUCAUGUUAAUAGGUGGAAGCUCCCGGAGGGUAAUGGAAGAAGAAGGAACAAGGUCCACAAUAGGAACCUCGUCCACAACAUCCGGCCUCUCAACCCGGAUAGGGUGAAUAACUGACUCAAUCAACCGGCGAGGUUUCCGAGCUGGACGAGGAUGAGGAACAUCAGAAUUUCUCUUCGUCACACCUGCAGAGGCCCUACGAGAGCUACUCGACUGAUCUGGAUCCAUAAUCUGAGCAAAGUCUCCAAAU